rnacentral:tRNA from 1 species
GGUAGUCGGGGGCUGGUGCCCGGUUAGAGCUGAUAUCUCUGACGUGCUGGGCUCAAUUCCCAGGGCUACCAC